GCAGAGAUGCGGGAGUGCCUUCGGGAAUUAGAAUACAGGUGCUGCAUGGCUGUCGUCAGCUCGUGUCGUGAGAUGUUGGGUUAAGUCCCGCAACGAGCGCAACCCUUGUCCUUAGUUACCAGCGGGUUAAGCCGGGAACUCUAAGGAUACUGCCAGUGACAAACUGGAGGAAGGCGGGGACGACGUCAAGUCAUCAUGGCCCUUACGACCAGGGCUACACACGUGCUACAAUGGUAGGUACAGAGGGCAGCUACACAGCGAUGUGAUGCGAAUCUCAAAAAGCCUAUCGUAGUCCAGAUUGGAGUCUGCAACUCGACUCCAUGAAGUAGGAAUCGCUAGUAAUCGCGGAUCAGAAUGCCG
rnacentral:rRNA from 2 species